GUCGAUCUUCAAACAGGGUCCCAUGGUCGUAGAAACCAAAACCCUGUUGCCAACACCAGCGGCGCAGCCAGUCGUUAACCUGGAAAGUCCKUCUCCUCCUCCUCUCAUCCAUCCCCCUCACUGGCAGGAUUGAGGAGAAGAUGACCUGGGCUCCCASACCCUUGACCACCAUCCCCAGAGCUCUGAAAUCCUGCUUGAUGGUCUCCAGUUUGCCCUUGGUGUCAUUGGCGCCCACAUGGAAGAGCAGCAGUGGGUAAAAGUGGGAGAGGAAAACAAGCAAGGAACAGGGGUGAAAAAGCCAUCAUUUUGGCUUGUAGUAAAUGCCUACCAAGGGCAGAUGAUUGGCAAAUACAAUAGCACAGGUUGGUUUGCGGAGGAGUUUUAAGGUGGAAAGGAUUACUUUAAUGAAUUUUAAUGGGAAAUUGACCCUAAGAUUGCUAGGAGCGGUGGGAUGUUGGGAGAGAGCAGGGAGAGGAAUUUUGAGGACAUGUGCUCUGCUAGAGAUUAAGGCUACCUUCCUUCUGAUGAAGUUGGAUUGGCAUCUCAAUAGCUAGCAGGACUAAAAGAAAAAGUAAUCCUGAUGCACAGAUGAUGCUCUGCAAUGUCAUGUGGUAUCUCCACAGAUGUCACUGACCCAACAGCAUAAAAGCUGCAGCCAAGAGAGUUGAGGGGGUGCAGACUGAACCUAUUAAUAAACUGUGCUGGCAUCAUGCAGAAUAGUGCACUGGAGACGGAGAACACAGAGAAUGCAUUGCUUAGAUAUCUGACCAACAUAACUGGGCCCCUGCAAGUGAGCCAGUUUGCUCUCAACAUGCUUACCAUGUGCCUGGCUUUGGAGUACAAGGACUAUGGGAUUAUCUGCACCUCUGUACACCCUGGCUGGGUGAAAAUCAGAAUGAAAACAGAGCAGGCCCCCCCAGACUGUGAAGGAAAGCACUCAAGGCCUGCUGAAGGUGAUUUCCAUGCUCACUGAGAAGGAUAAUGGCUCCUUCAUUGGCUGGGCUAGAAGGAGAGCCCCUUGGUGAGAAAGCAGCUUGCCAAGAUUUGGCUGGAAACAAACCCUGCAACACAGUGGAACCCAUGACCAGUAAACAUACCAGCUGAGGUCCCAAGUUUUUCUUGGUCUUUUCUUCUGCCUUUUGAGUUUCAUUACUUGGGAAGUGCAGAUUAUCCCUAUACACUACUGCUCAUCCAGCCAGGGCCAAACACAUGGCACCUU
rnacentral:lncRNA from 1 species